UUGAUCAUCAAAGGAAACACAUCACAUGAAAAAGAAUCCAAAAUUAAAUGAAAUUAAUUGAUAAGGCAGAUUUUUUAUCGACACGGAUUAUUCAAAAACGCUGCUCUCCAGCCAAUCCACGUUUUCUGGCCCCACAGUUCCCGGACUUUGCUACUUGUUAAACCAACAAGCCACUAUUGGAGCGUGAGCCACACUUUCUCAGAUACGCAUGUGAUAUACAACGAAUAUCGCUUCAACAAUUAAACGGCGCGUUGAAAGUGUUUGCCAAUUUGGUGUCGGUGAAGAGCCAACUGGAUUCGCCGAACCAACAAAGCCAGGCUCUAGACUGGACCCUUCGUACUUGGGAUACGAGCGUGAUCGGUG